UGCUGCUGCAUCAUGUAUUGUUGUUGCAUCAUUUGGUAUUGUUGUUGUUGCUGCGCCAUCAUUUGUACGCUUGUUGGAGGGGCUAUGUGGUUUGACAUUGCAAAAGGGUCAUUGUGAUUGGCUGAACUCUGUCCAGGUGGAACGAUUGCUAGAGCCAAUGCAUUGCUUUCCUCUAAUUCUGCAACUCUUGGAUCCACUUCAUUCAAGCCCUGUCCACAGAGAUGAAAAAUAUUCUGAUCAAGACUAUUAUUACACACGAAAGAAGGAGACACGAGCCAUGAACAAAGAUUUCGUCUGUCCCCCGUGAAUUCGAAAUGCAUACCAGCAAAUCAACAGGUUCUUCUGUUGAUAUCAGUGUUGGUAUUUCUUCCUUUUUAGGCUUUUCAGGUUUCUGCUUGGUUUCUCGAUACUCCUGCAGGUCACAAAGGCAAACACUAUAACCAAAUCGAUGAAGCUAAGUUCUCACCAGCCUGUUAUAUGUGACCGCAUUGUAUAACUACGUUCUCACCAGCCUUUUAUUUGGCAUUGAAUCCGUUUGAGGUGCUUCUCUAAUGUAUUCCUCCAUCGUUACCAGAAACGAUGCAGGAGGCUGCAAGUUAAAGAUCAAGAAUGAAGAGAGAUUAAACGAAACGUAAUUCAUGAAGAUUGUACAUUAUCCAAAAGGGUGAGGAAAAAAGACCUGUUUCAAUGUAGGAAACUGAAAGGUACGCGCUACAUCCAAGCCUCUGCAGAAGUCAUAAAAAUGAGCGAGAUGUUCAGCCUACAUUAAGUGGAGAAAAAAAAAGAGAAGAAACUUAGAUAUGUUAAUACCAUAUCUGUAAAAAGACCAUGAAGUAGCAAGUUAAGUUCAAAAACAGCAAUGGUUAAUGAGCUGGAGAUAUCAAAGACACGAGAGGAGCAUCAUACAUAGUCGACAAGAUUGAUUAUCCCAUCGUUGAUUGCACAAUAGAUCUUGAAACUUUCCUUCAACACCUACAAAAAGAACAAUUAGAGCUGCGAAAUUCACCAGAGAAAACGAUGAUAGUCAGAGAACUGGUAUAGCAAUGAGCUUAUCGCGGCUAAAACAGCAAAGGUUGUUACUACCUGGCAACCAGUUAAGCGAUAAAGAAGCUGUUGUAAUGCUGGGAGCUGCUCUAGAAGUUCUUCGCCAUUCAAAAUCCUAGUUCUACAAUGAACCUGAUGUGAAACUCAGGUUAUCUACAUUGUUUACAUUAUGUAUCUUACAUGAAAAUAUGCAGAUGACUAACAAAAUGCACCUUGCUUAUUCCAACUGAAGGUUUGGUUGAUCUUUCUGCAACAAUAUCAUUUUUCAUUGUCCUAAAACACUCUAGUCUUUCCUCCAGAAAGAGUGCAUAUGUACGUACCCAAGCUGAGCAAUCCCAACCUGUGUUUAAAACACAAUACAAUUGCAAUACUAAGGUAUCUGAAAUGAGGCCUUUAACUUGGCCUCAGCUGGAAUCUAUGCCCUUCAACUUUGGUUAUGUACAAAUAGACAUUUAAACUUGUAUAAAGUUGAACAAAUAGACA